GCCCUGUAACAACCUGCUGACAUCCACCACUCCGACUCUGACAGGCCCUAACUGCCUAACAAACUUUACUAUAAAGAGAAAGAUAAGGAAAAAAAGGGAGGAUUCCGAAUUCAACUCACUCUCAUCUUCUUCCUCUACUAUUCUCUCUCUCCGACUGUUACUAGCUUAACCAUCGGAGGGUCUCCAACAAGAGAACCCCC
rnacentral:lncRNA from 1 species